AAUUAAUUUCCUUUUAAUUUAGUCUUAUACUUGAGGUUUCAUGCACAUUAUUUGUGGUAUUAUUUGCCUCUUCCAAUCUCGCUUUUUUCCUCUCUGUUGUAGUUCGCUCAGUCUUACUCUAAAGACACCGGCCAUUCUUGCGAGCUCUAAGAGAAGCCAAUUCCAGCGAAAACCAACCAAUCUGAAACUGGUCACUGAGGAGGUGUUUGAUGAAGCUCUACAAGUCCGUUUGCAAAAAUAUUCAGAGCCAUCUGAGUCACUAGCAAGCAGAAUGGAAGGAGAUUCCUCCUGGCAAGGAUUCACUCUUGGCUUGUCUGAUGUCACUGUUCCCGACCUCACCACUGAUAUAAUAAUGAGCAACACUGCGCUCUACCCCCGACCAGAAACAGCCGACAAUGUGAAAGAGUUGCAGGCAAAUCCCUCUCAGAAAGAGGAGUUUAAAGAUCUAAACCAACGGACUGGAAUCAGAGAAGUGAGCAGUACACAUCCUGAAGAGAUGGUUCCUGAGACCCAGGAAGAGGAGUUUAAAGAUCUAAACCAACGGACUGGAAUCAGAGAAGUGAGCAGUACACAUCCUGAAGAGAUGGUUCCUGAGACCCAGGAAGAGGAGUUUAAAGAUCUAAACCAACGGACUGGAAUCAGAGAAGUGAGCAGUACACAUCCUGAAGAGAUGGUUCCUGAGACCCAGGAGGAGGAUGAGUUUGUGUCUAGGACAGCAUCUCAGACUGCAGAUAUGGAUUACAUAGAACCUGUGAAGGGAGAGUCCGAAGAAAUAACUGCGCCUGGAUCUGCAGAAGAAAUAGCUGCGCCUGGAUCUGCAGAAGAAAUAAUUGAGCCUGGAUCUGCAGAAGAAAUAAUUGAGCCUGGAUCUGCAGAGGAAAUAACUGCGCCUGGAUCUGCAGAAGAAAUAAUAGAGGAUGGAUCUGCAGAGGAAAUAAUUGAGCCUGGAUCUGCAGAAGACAUAAUUGAGGAUGGAUCUGCAGAAGAAAUAAUUGAGCCUGGAUCUGCAGAAGAACAAUUAAGUGAGGAUGGAUCUGCAGAAGAAAUAAUUGAGCCUGGAUCUGCAGAAGAACAAUUAAGUGAGGAUGGAUCUGCGGAAGAACAAAUGACUGAGGAUGGAUCUGCAGAAGAAAUAAUUGAGGAUGGAUCUGCAGAAGAAAUAAUUGAGCCUGGAUCUGCAGAAGAACAAUUAAGUGAGGAUGGAUCUGCAGAAGAACAAAUGACUGGGGUUUUUCCUCAAGACGAGGAGAUGGAAACCUCCCAGCCCCUAGAGCAGGUCGUUGGCUGUAGUGCUCACCCAUCUGAACAUGGAGUCAGGCCUGCAGUGUCUGCACAGACACAGGAAUGCCACCGCAUGUUUGAGCCCGGAACAGAAGAAGGUAACAGAUUCAUUAUAUUCACUGAGGUUGGACCAGAUGUAUAUUGGAUAUAUUCACUGAGGUUGGACCAGAUGUAUAUUGGAUAUAUUCCCUGAGGUUGGACCAGAUGUAUAUUGGUUAAAAUGUAUAUCUAUCUGGCUUGUUCGUAGCAAGAGGAAAUAGAAAUGGUUUAUAGUGUUAAAUCUAAUCCACAGGUUUUAUUUAUGAAUGAUUACACAUUUCUCAAUACCAAAAGUGGUAGCAGCAAAGCUUAUUUCCCUACCGUGUAUGCAAAGAAACGUGUUCAUGAUUUGACAUCGGCUCAUUUUGGGGCAGUACACUCACC
ensembl:lncRNA